rnacentral:rRNA from 1 species
GAUGAACGCUAGCUACAGGCUUAACACAUGCAAGUCGAGGGACCGGCGCACGGGUGAGUAACACGUAUCCAACCUUCCCUUUACUCGGGGAUAGCCUUUCGAAAGAAAGAUUAAUACCCGAUAUAAUGGCUGGGGAUGCGUUCCAUUAGGUUGUUGGUUAGGUAACGGCACGCCAAGCCUUCGAUGGAUAGGGGUUCUGAGAGGAAGGUCCCCCGCAUUGGAACUAAGACCCAGACCAAACUCGUAGGUGAGGCAGGAGUAAGGAGUAUUGGUCAAUGGGCGCUAGCCUGAACCUGCCAAGUAGCGUGAAGGAUGAAGGGGUAGGGGUCGUAAUCUUCUGUUAUAGAAGAAUAUGUAUUAUAUGAAUAAGGAUCGGCUAACUCCGUGCCAGCAGCCGCGGUAAUUC